rnacentral:rRNA from 1 species
AUUGAACGCUGGCGGAAUGCUUUACACAUGCAAGUCGAACGGUAGAGGGGGCAACCCCUCGAGAGUGGCGAACGGGUGAUUAAUAUAUCGGAACGUGCCCAGUGGUGGGGGAUAACGUAGCGAAAGUUCCGCUAAUACCGCAUACGCUCUAAGGUUGCAAGCGGGGGAUCGCCAGACCUCGCGCGCUGGGAGGGCCCGAUAUCAGAUUAGGUAGUUGGUGGGGUAAAGGCUCACCAAGCCAACGAUCUGUAGCUGGUCUGAGAGGACGACCCGCCACACUGGAACGGAGACACGGUCCAGACUCCUACGGGAGGCAGCAGUGGGGAAUUUUGGACAAUGGGCGAAAGCCUGAUCCAGCCAGUCCGCGUGAGUGAAGAAGGCCUUCGGGUUGUAAAGCUCUUUCGGCAGGGAAGAAACGGUUUUGGAUAAUACCCAGAACUAAUGACGGUACCUGAAGAAGAAGCACCGGCUAACUACGUGCCAGCAGCCGCAGUAA